rnacentral:rRNA from 1 species
UGAGUGAAGGUGGGGCUGGCGAUUGGGACGAAGUCGUAACAAGGUAGCCGUACCGGAAGGUGCGGCUGGAUCACCUCCUUUCUAAGGAG